AUGGCGGCGGCGGCGGACUUCACGCAGAGCAAGCAGGCCAUGUCGUACGCGCUCUGCAAGCACCUGAACCUCGAUCCAAAGAGCAUAUCCAGUACACUUAUCAAGGAGAAUGAUAUUGCGAGCCUAUUCUCACAUAUCGUGACCUCACCGCAGGAUGAGGUCAAGAAGUGGGUUGAGUUCUCCAGCAAUUUUGUUCUAAGUGAUGGAGAACAGCAUGCGUUACUUGGUAAUUUGAAUCAACAUUUGUCCCAGAUGUCGGUACUAUUAGCAGGUUUCAAACCAUCAGCGGCGGACAUUAUUGUGUUUGCAACCGUGCAUGUUUUCAUGUGUCAUCUUAGUGACAGUGAGUCGCAGAAAUAUCCAAAUAUAUUGCGGUGGAUGGACUACAUUCAGAAUGUAGUUGAUUUUGGUAUGACGCUGCAAAAGAUAAACUUGACCAAAUCUAUCUUCAACCCACCUGCAUCUGCACCUUCUCACCCAAAGAAAGCUGAUAAAGGAGAUGGUGAACCAAAUUCCAAGAAAGCUGUUUCAGGACAGAAGAUUGCGGAUAAGUCAGAUGGAGCUGCUGAUUCCAAAAAGGCUGCAGGGGAGAAUAAGGUUCCUGGGGAUAAGGCAAAUCCUACUUCUGCCAAAAACAACAAACCUUCUGGGGAUAAAAAGAAAGUCCAAGAGAAGACUGCCGGCAAAACAACAGAGGCAGCUGCAGAGAAAGCUCCACAGAAAAGUGCAGAAAAGGAUUCUGAGUGCAGUGUUAGUAUCCUGAAUAUACAGGUCGGCGUUAUUCGCAAAGCAUGGAAACACCCAUCAGCUGACAGUCUUCUGGUGGAGGAGAUAGAUUUGGGAGAUGGCAAUGUGCGUCAAGUUGUUAGUGGUCUUGCGAAGUUCUUCAGCCCAGAUGAACUUGUUAAUCGCCAUGUUGUCUUGAUCACAAAUGUGAAGCCUGGGAAGCUGCGGGAUGUAAUGUCUGCUGGAUUGGUCUUGUGUGCUUCAAAUAAAGAUCAUACAGUUGUGGAGCCUUUGAUUCCUCCGGAAGGAGCCAAGCUUGGAGAACGCAUUUGUUUUGCUGGGUUUGAUGGGAAGCCGGAAGAUGUUCUAAACCCAAAGAAGAAACAGUUGGACAAGAUAACACCGCAUCUCCGUACCGACGAGAAUGGAAUUGCAACGUUCCGAGGGGUACCAUUCACUACAUCAGCUGGUCCGUGUAGAUCCUCAGUUCCGAAUGCGGAUGUUAAGUGA
rnacentral:rRNA from 1 species